CGUCCCUGUGACCAUGUGACGUGUACAAACAGGCACGCACCAGAACUGUGGAACAGCCGUGGCAUCGGAUCGGAACGUCAUCAGCGUAACUGGUGCCGCCAAGUAGUUUGUUUGCCUCAUCAGUUCACCUGGCGCCACCUUCCGCAGCAGUUCGUGUCAUCGCAGCGCUGUCGCAUUCACCGCCAAGACGACCGCAGCCGCUUAGCGAAGGAGGACGGAAACGCAGGAAUGCGCAGAGUACCAGCGUGAAUGCAGGUUACGGCAGAAACAACUGAACGACGCUGCGUAGCGCGGGGAACUACAGCAACACGCUGCAGACAGACCAGCGCGUUCAACAACGCACUGGCGAGCAGGAAGGCGCGUUGCGAUGCGUAGCAGACGACGCCCGCCGUUCUCGGAGGCUUCCCCAGAUGGCUCUGCCAGUUCCGGCGGAGGAUUCGACGCCGUUCGAUUUUCCUCGAUUGCCGUUGCGGACAGCGUUGCAGUUGGCUCAAGGAUGGGCAACGCACUUUGUAUUGAUACAUCCGUAUUGCGUGUUUCUUGUGGCCGAUGCACGCGGGCGCUCUCCGGCUCUCGGGCUGUCGGCUGAACUGGCCAGCGCUGCAGCUACGCCUUGUAGUCAAGACGCGGCUGAUGAGCCCGACUACUGGUCAUGGGAUGAUGCUGGAAGGCCGCCAGCAGAACCUGAAACGAAUGCUGCCCCAUUACCGACCACCACAGACAGCCGAGAGCUCGUUCACGGUACAACAAGCCCAGAUGCAGUUGUGACAGAGCCAGGUGCUGCCGCAACUUCAAGCUGUCCUGUGCCAGCUGGAACAAGACGCCCCGCGACAAGAAGCAGCCAGAGACAGACGGCGGUCUCCCUUGAACUGGCUACCCGCCUCAGUGCCAUCAAGGAUGACCGUGAAGAAAAAAAAAAGGAACAUUUAUUGAAAAUGAAAUGCAUGCGCCUCGAGCGCAAAUACAAAUCUUUGCAUAGGCGAACUGAACAUGAGCAAACUAUGCAGCUUCUUCGGCUUAAAGAAGCCAACCAAAAAACAAAAGCGGAAAUUCUAAAGCUUCAGCUAGAAGCUUUGAAGAUAAAGUAAACGUCUUUGUUGUUGCUGUGA